AACUUCACGCAGUGGCAGUGUUGGAGUCAAUGAGGUUUCAUCUGGGGCACCAUUACUGCUAACUGGAAACUUAUUCCAAUAAAGUAGUCUUUAUGUAGAAUUUGCAAAAUUUAGUCAAAU
ensembl:snRNA U4 U4 spliceosomal RNA